GGCUGAUUCCUUUGUUAGUUUCAUCGUUAUUACUUUUCAACAGAUCCCUCUUGUACUGGUCCCAGAAGAGAAAGACUAUGACAUUAUUGCCCCUCAGGAAGAGGUGAAGCCCUCUCACCCCCAAUAUGCAUCAAUGUCAGAAUCAGGAAGCAGAUGAGAGGUACACAGCCCCCUGAGAAGCAGUGCUUGACACAGGCUACUGUAAUAGGUGUCCACCCAUCUGAAUCCUACUGCCCAGCACUCAGCUCAGAUGGAACAAGAGGCUGCCAGACGAGAGCUGGCACCAGUUUGAUCGCUCCCAUUUCAUAGAUCUUUACAAUGUCACACUGUUGCUCCAGCUUAUUUAGAAAUCCUGGAAAGAAGGGAAGUGGAGAUUGCAGGGCAGCCUCAGCCCUCAGAAAAGUUUCUCUGCUUUCUCAUGUGUCCCAGCUUACAGGAUGCCAGG
rnacentral:lncRNA from 1 species